CCUUACGGCGGGCGGUGCGUGGGGGCCAUGUGCCCGCCGGUUCAUCGACUCCGGUAUUGGAAACCACGCAUCGCCCGCCACCCUC
rnacentral:antisense_RNA from 2 species